rnacentral:lncRNA from 1 species
GACCUAAUGUACGUGCAAAGGUGAAUCCUUCUUUCACGCCAGGGGUAUAACCCUGGUCUAGGUAACAGAAACAACCAUGAUCAUGAUCAGGACAUUAGAUGCCAUGACGCUCCAACAGCUCCCAACCAAGUACAUGUUAGCAUUUAUAGUCAAUGUGCAUCUACUGAACUCUAGAAUACAGAAUUCUUGAGAAUGCUUCAUUUACAU